CCCUCCUUUCGCGCCUUUGUGGGCGAACAAAAAGGCAUCCAGGUUCAAUGAACCUGGAAGUUCUAUGUUCUUGUUUUAUCAUCACCAUCAUCAUAUUCUUCAUCACCUUUACUAGCGACUUAUAUAUAUGUAAACGAAGCUUUGAUGAAACUGCGGACAAAUUGGGCCGAGAAAGAGAGAAGUAUCUAUGGCAUCUUCGGCGACUCAUCACUUCAUCAUCAUUAUCAUGGAUCAAGCUCAAAGAACGGCGUAAGACAGGAGCCAAACAUCACCUCAACACAAAUAUGCUCGAGAUGAUUGAUCAAUAUGCAUAUGGGAGAAAGUAUAUCAAUAUGGAACUAAUUAUAAUUAGUAUUACAUUAUCGUUUGAUAGAAAAACAUGAAUAGUGUUCAUGCAUGGCUUGAAACAUGAAACAAAACAAAAAAGAGUUCCCCUUUCAGAAACUUCAAUCUAUUUUGUUGAGAGAGAAAAAAUAAACAAAACUUAUAUGUAGCUGUUGUCUUGCACUCUCAUUUUGAUUUUCAGUUUUGCAUUGACAAUGGAAUAGUUGAUUGGAACUUGAAAUCCUUUUCUUGAAGCUGGGUUAUUUCGUCGACGCCUAUAUAUAAUUUAUUACGUGUCAAC